GCAAUUAUACCGUGAAACUGCGAAUGGCUCAUUAAAUCAGUUAUCGUUUAUUUGAUAGUACCUUACCACUUGGAUAACCGUGGUAAUUCUAGAGCUAAUACAUGCUAAAAACCCCGACUUCGGAAGGGGUGUGUUUAUUAGAUAAAAAACCAAUGCCCUUCGGGGCUCUUUGGUGAUUCAUGAUAACCUAACGGAUCGCAUGGCCUUGCGCCGGCGACGGUUCAUUCAAAUUUCUGCCCUAUCAACUUUCGAUGGUAAGGUAUUGGCUUACCAUGGUUUCAACGGGUAACGGGGAAUUAGGGUUCGAUUCCGGAGAGGGAGCCUGAGAAACGGCUACCACAUCCAAGGAAGGCAGCAGGCGCGCAAAUUACCCAAUCCCGACACGGGGAGGUAGUGACAAUAAAUACUGAUACAGGGCCCUUUUGGGUCUUGUAAUUGGAAUGAGUACAAUUUAAACCCCUUAACGAGGAACAAUUGGAGGGCAAGUCUGGUGCCAGCAGCCGCGGUAAUUCCAGCUCCAAUAGCGUAUAUUAAAGUUGUUGCAGUUAAAAAGCUCGUAGUUGAAACUUGGGUCUGGCUAGCGGGUCCGCCUCACCGCGUGCACUUGUCCGGCUGGACCUUUCCUUCUGGAGAACCUCAUGCCCUUCACUGGGUGUGUUGGGGAACCAGGACUUUUACUUUGAAAAAAUUAGAGUGUUCAAAGCAGGCCUUUGCUCGAAUACGUUAGCAUGGAAUAAUAGAAUAGGACGUGCGGUCCUAUUUUGUUGGUUUCUAGGAUCGCCGUAAUGAUUAAUAGGGAUAGUCGGGGGCAUCAGUAUUCAAUUGUCAGAGGUGAAAUUCUUGGAUUUAUUGAAGACUAACUACUGCGAAAGCAUUUGCCAAGGAUGUUUUCAUUAAUCAGUGAACGAAAGUUAGGGGAUCGAAGACGAUCAGAUACCGUCGUAGUCUUAACCGUAAACUAUGCCGACUAGGGAUCGGGCGAUGUUUCUAUCUUGACUCGCUCGGCACCUUACGAGAAAUCA
rnacentral:rRNA from 1 species